GAUGAACGCUAGCGGCAGGCUUAACACAUGCAAGUCGAGGGGUAUGGUUCUUCGGAACCAGAGACCGGCGCACGGGUGCGUAACGCGUAUGCAAUCUACCUUUUACAGAGGGAUAGCCCAGAGAAAUUUGGAUUAAUACCUCAUAGUAUAACAUGACCGCAUGGUCGAGUUAUUAAAGUCACAACGGUAAGAGAUGAGCA
rnacentral:rRNA from 1 species